UCCCAUGUGGUCCAAUGACUAGGAUUUGUGGCUUUCACCCAUGCGGCCCGGGUUCGAUUCCCGGCAUAGGAA
rnacentral:tRNA from 1 species